rnacentral:rRNA from 1 species
UGCAAGCCGAGCGGUAGAGGUCUUUCGGGAUCUUGAGAGCGGCGUACGGGUGCGGAACACGUGUGCAACCUGCCUUUAUCAGGGGGAUAGCCUUUCGAAAGGAAGAUUAAUACCCCAUAAUAUAUUGAGUGGCAUCACUUAAUAUUGAAAACUCCGGUGGAUAGAGAUGGGCACGCGCAAGAUUAGAUAGUUGGUGAGGUAACGGCUCACCAAGUCUGCGAUCUUUAGGGGGCCUGAGAGGGUGAUCCCCCACACUGGUACUGAGACACGGACCAGACUCCUACGGGAGGCAGCAGUGAGGAAUAUUGGACAAUGGGUGCGAGCCUGAUCCAGCCAUCCCGCGUGAAGGACGACGGCCCUAUGGGUUGUAAACUUCUUUUGUAUAGGGAUAAACCUACUCUCGUGAGAGUAGCUGAAGGUACUAUACGAAUAAGCACCGGCUAACUCCGUGCCAGCAGCCGCGGUAAUACGGAGGGUGCAAGCGUUAUCCGGAUUUAUUGGGUUUAAAGGGUCCGUAGGCGGAUCUGUAAGUCAGUGGUGAAAUCUCACAGCUUAACUGUGAAACUGCCAUUGAUACUGCAGGUCUUGAGUGUUGUUGAAGUAGCUGGAAUAAGUAGUGUAGCGGUGAAAUGCAUAGAUAUUACUUAGAACACCAAUUGCGAAGGCAGGUUACUAAGCAACAACUGACGCUGAUGGACGAAAGCGUGGGGAGCGAACAGGAUUAGAUACCCUGGUAGUCCACGCCGUAAACGAUGCUAACUCGUUUUUGGGUUUUCGGAUUCAGAGACUAAGCGAAAGUGAUAAGUUAGCCACCUGGGGAGUACGAACGCAAGUUUGAAACUCAAAGGAAUUGACGGGGGCCCGCACAAGCGGUGGAUUAUGUGGUUUAAUUCGAUGAUACGCGAGGAACCUUACCAAGGCUUAAAUGGGAAAUGACAGGCUUAGAAAUAGGCUUUUCUUCGGACAUUUUUCAAGGUGCUGCAUGGUUGUCGUCAGCUCGUGCCGUGAGGUGUUAGGUUAAGUCCUGCAACGAGCGCAACCCCUGUCACUAGUUGCCAUCAUUAAGUUGGGGACUCUAGUGAGACUGCCUACGCAAGUAGAGAGGAAGGUGGGGAUGACGUCAAAUCAUCACGGCCCUUACGCCUUGGGCCACACACGUAAUACAAUGGCCGGUACAGAGGGCAGCUACACUGCGAAGUGAUGCAAAUCUCGAAAGCCGGUCUCAGUUCGGAUUGGAGUCUGCAACUCGACUCUAUGAAGCUGGAAUCGCUAGUAAUCGCGCAUCAGCCAUGGCGCGGUGAAUACGUUCCCGGGCCUUGUACACACCGCCCGUCAAGCCAUGGAAGUCUGGGGUACCUGAAGUCGGUGACCGUAACAGGAGCUGC